AUACGUAGGUGACAAGCGUUAUCCGGAUUUACUGGGCGUAAAGGGCGUGUAGGCGGUCUUGCAAGUCAGAAGUGAAAUUCCUGAGCUCAACUCGGGCGCUGCUUCUGAAACUGCAGGACUUGAGUGCUGGAGGGGAUAGCGGAAUUCCUAGUGGAGCGGUAAAAUGCGCAGAUAUUAGGAAGAACACCGGUGGCGAAGGCGGCUAUCUGGACAGUAACUGACGCUGAGGCGCGAAAGCGUGGGGAGCAAACAGGAUUAGAUACCCUGGUAGUCCACGCGGUAAACGAUGAAUACUAGGUGUCGGGUGGCAAAGCCAUUCGGUGCCGCAGCUAACGCAAUAAGUAUUCCACCUGGGGAGUACGUUCGCAAGAAUGAAACUCAAAGGAAUUGACGGGG
rnacentral:rRNA from 1 species